rnacentral:rRNA from 1 species
UCGAGAAUCUUCGGCAAUGGGCGAAAGCCUGACCGAGCGACGCCGCGUGUGGGAUGAAGGCCUUCGGGUUGUAAACCGCUGUCAGUGGGGAGGAAAUGCGGGAGGGUUCUCCCUUCCGUUUGACCUAUCCGCAGAGGAAGUACGGGCUAAGUUCGUGCCAGCAGCCGCGGUAACACGAACCGUACGAACGUUAUUCGGAAUUACUGGGCUUAAAGGGUGCGUAGGCGGCUUGGAAAGUUGGGUGUGAAAGCCCUCGGCUCAACCGAGGAACUGCGCUCAAAACUACCAAGCUUGAGGAAGACAGAGGUGAGUGGAACUUAGGGUGGAGCGGUGAAAUGCGUUGAUAUCCUAAGGAACACCAGUGGCGAAAGCGACUCACUGGGUCUUUUCUGACGCUGAGGCACGAAAGCUAGGGGAGCGAACG